UACGUAGGCAGCGAGCGUUGUUCGGAGUUACUGGGCGUAAAGAGUGCGUAGGCGGUUUUCUAAGUUUGGUGUGAAAUCUCCCGGCUUAACUGGGAGGGUGCGCCGAAGACUGGAAGGCUUGAGUAUGGGAGAGGUAAGCGGAAUUCCUGGUGUAGCGGUGAAAUGCGUAGAUAUCAGGAGGAACACCGGUGGUGUAGACGGCUUUCUGGACCGUAACUGACGCUGAAACACGAAAGCGUGGGUAGCAAACAGG
rnacentral:rRNA from 1 species